CUAUGGAGAACUAGCAGUGACGGAAGUCAUUGUUUAGACUCUUAGUCGACGCACAUUCAUUCAGGUAUUGUUUGGUUUUUAAAGCUCUUGCUAUUUAUGGGGAAGCGCAAGCGCCCCCUGUUUUGUAUGAGCCCAGUUUGAACCUUGAAAACUUCACAGAGAAGAUACAAACAGAAGUCCUGGAUAUUUGUGAUGAAUGUCUAGGCAAAAAGAAACACCUCUUGAGGAAGCAAUUCCGAGAGAGCAAAAGAAAGUCUAGGAACGCAAGUUCUUAGAGCUGACUAAACUA
rnacentral:misc_RNA from 1 species